GACGCGCCCCCUGGCGGCCCGUGGGGGCGCGCUAGAGGUGUCCUGCUAGGUGUCCCGGGAAGGCGACCGGGUGACUGAGCCGGCGAAGGGGCUCCCGGAGCGCCUCCCCGCUUUCCUGGGCGUGAGCUGGGCCUCCGAGGGCUUGCGAGCCCUUCCAAUCCCAUCAAUUCUAUUGUGUUAUCUAGGGAGACUGGAGUGGUGGGCGGGAAACUAGGGAGUCCAGGAAAAGAUAAUUAAGUGCAUAAGUUUGGGGGGCAGACGGCACGAGCGCGGUCGGAACCGGGUGCAGGUGCGGCGGGAGGCUGAGGUGCACACUCAGGUAAUCCGAGAGGUCUGUCCGCCUAGCAGGGGCCUCGGGGGCGCUCCAGCCCCCGCGACCGUGUCUCCGGCCUGCUCCGGGAUCUUCCGACAGUUUUGUUUUGUUUUGUUUUGUUUGAUUGUUUUAAAAAACAUUUUAUUUUUAUUUGAGAGAGAGGGAGAGAGAGAGAGAACGACAGCAGGGGGAGGGGCAGAGGGGGAGGGAGCAGCCGACUCCGGGGAGCUCCGUGUGGGGCUCCAUCCCCGGGUUCCAAUCCGGGGCUCCCUCCUGGGGCACCAUCCCAGGGUUCCAUCCAGGGACUCUCUUCUGGGACUCUGUGAUCAUGACCUGAGCCGAAGGCAGACCCUUCACCAACUCAGCCACCCAGAAAGAAUUAUCAAAGAAGAGCCCAACAGAAGAAUCAGCAGCAGGAAAGAAUCAUCAAUCACAGGCUCCUGCAAGGGAAAGAUGUACGUCGUAUCUCUGACAAGAUCUCCACUACCCCUGCAACUCAGCCCUUUGGAAACCAUCAUGACCUGGACUUCUGCUAUUUUUUCCCCCCAAUGAACUUUUGUUCGGAAAAACCCCUCCCAGCUUCAUUCUUCUUCUGCACAAAAUAACGUUCCUCUUUGUUUGUUGCAUGUACAGAAUUGGGAUUCUGUUAUUCCUGAAAAAAAAAAAAACAUUUUUUUUGCUAGUAAAAUAACCGACAGUUUUAUUUUUCAGGUUAAAACUCCAAAAAACUGUCUUUAAAUGACCUCCUGCAUUCCCCAAGCAUCCUGCAUUUCUCAUUCUGUAGUUAAUUGUGUGCUUUUUCAGGGCAGGAAUAUAAGUAGCUUAUUCGUCUUUGUUUCACCUGUAUACCUUGUGCAGUACCUGCUUCAGAGUAGACCCCGCAUAAAUGUCUGUUAACAUGUGAGGAUUGUAAAGCCUGAAGUUCAGCUGUGGGUUAAUGAAGAGAGUGGAACAUUUAGGAGUGUGACUAGAUAGGAGGGGUUGUGGUAGAAAAACAGGAGGAGGAAAAUCAGCGGGGUGAGGAAUAAUAUAUCAUGGAGGCCACUGGAGGCCCAUUCCGUAUUUAUUUACCAACCAUCUCUGCAAAAACACCAUGUGCUUGAUGAUAACAUGUUGGCAACAGUAUGGACAAAGGCAAGGAGCUAGGUGAGUGCUGGGUUGUGAAAAGAGAAGUGAAUAGCCCAGUUGGUUGGAGACAGGGCAUGUAGAUUACAGUGGUGGGAUCCAGGAUUGAGAAGGCAAAGUUGGGUCAUUUUGUACCUGAAAAAUUUGCAUAAUCAGGAAGCAGUUGUGAGGGUAAUUUGCAGGGGGGUCAGAUGAACAGAGGGGUACUCCAGGAUGGUUACUCUGCAGCACUUGGCAAUGCGAGGUGAGCCAUGAGCCUUGGCUAUUUAAUUAUUUAUUUAUUUAUUUAUUUAUUUAUUUAUUUAUUUAUUUAUUUAUUGAAAUACGAGUAACUGACAAAAGAUAGUUAUUUCAAAUAAAACACAUUGCCAACUACAAGACUAGAUACAGAGCCAGCCCCACCGCCCCCUAGGCUCCUUUGUGAACUUGGUUGAUUUCAAUAAGUGACCAUUUGGGCCACUUGCCUUUUCUCUUUCUGAGCUUGGGAUCCCUGGGUGGCGCAGCGGCUUGGCGCCUGCCUUUGGCCCAGGGCGCGAUCCUGGAGACCCGGGAUCGAAACCCCCAUCGGGCUCCCGGUACAUGGAGCCUGCUUCUCUCUCUGCCUGUGUCUCUGCCUCUCUCUUUCUCUGUGUGACUAUCAUAAAUAAAUAAAAAUUUAAAAAAAAAUUCAAAAUCUCUUUCUGAGUUUUAAAUUCCGCACUCUUAUAUUUUAAAUUUUCUAAUAAAGAGUGAGCCUACAAAACCCUAGGCCCCCACACUAGGCUCUGAUAAAAGCAGAAAGCCUGCCUGUGCAUACUUGUAUGCUCGCUUUCCUCCUUCCCCCUGCCCUGUGUGACCUCGCUAUGUGGUUCCAAGUGUGCUGUGUGAUUUCCAGGUCUUAUAAAUAAUAAAUCUCUAUUUUUUCAAAGUUUCCCAUUGUUCUUGAAGGGCAUCUUGAAAUCAUAAUAAGAAGCACAAUAGCGGGUCCAAACACAACAGUGGGAUAUUGAUAUUAGCAUAUUGAUAUGCUAAGACUGGCACAAACAGUGUGAUCAGUGGUGUAAGUGAUACCAAAACCCUUUUACUCGAGCCAUGACUCUUUAUAUAUUGUAGAAAACAUGAAGACCAGUUGGCUUCAAGAAUCUUAGGAAAUAGUAUUAAACUUAUGAUUCCUGGUGGCACCAUAGAAUCAGGAUGGGCCCAUCUCAAAACUGACUCAGAAAAUAAAACCAUAGCCAUAGCAAAGAAUUUGCUAGGUGAGUAUCCUUGCAUACUGUUACCACAUAUUUUCUAAUAUUUUCACACAACUUCCCUUUUUCUUAUAACAAUCUGUGUCAUGUUGAAAAAAUUCCCAGAACCAUGAACAAAAGAGAUAGGAUGAGAGGUUGCUUGUGUUGGCUUUAAAAGUGACGUUUGGAAAGACUCAGUUUCCUAAUCUCUUAAAAUGGGGUUAGUAAUAGUACCUCUGAGAGUUAUGAGGAUUUACUGGUGUAAUUUGUGUAGAGUGGUUACGAUCCACAAGUAAGCACCCAGUAGAUGUUAGUUGUGACGAUCACCAACCUCGUUAUUAUUAAAGGUUAUCAUCAUUGGCAGGAAUGUUGAAAGCAAGAGAAUGGAUACAUGCUCUCAGAGAAUGAAUGUGGAGAGACCAGAUGAGCAGGAACCAUACAACCAUACAACCGUAUAGUAAGGGAGUAGAAAGAAAAAGUGAGGACAGAAAGGUAAAUAGAAGAAGGAAAUAAGGUUACAGUAAAGUUAGACAAAUCAAGACUAAGUAGAAACUCCAGAAAGAGCAAUAUUAUUUCAUAUUGAAGAUGUUCAGAAGAACAGGAUGGAAGGAUGGAACAGGUUAACCUUUGAGUUAACCUACAGGUGAUGUGUGGGGAACAUUUUCAGGGGAGCAGUGUGGAGGGAAGUUGGCUUGAUCUAAAGAGAAGGUGGAGAAGAGAUAAGACCAGCUUGCUAUUGACUAUUUGGGGGCAUGGAAAGCAAAUGAGGGAUAGUCCAUUCUGCAUUUCUGGAUGUCAUUCCUUCUUGCUUAGCCACUAUACAUAUACACAGAGUUCUAGCACCAAAUUCUAGAAAAUAAAAAUGAGACCAAUUUCAUUUGUAGAAGCGAAGACAAUACUUUAUGGUGGAAUCAAGAUAAAUGCAUGACUCUCCUAGUCCCACUCUUGGUUUUUAAGUUAAACAGCUGCUUUUCCUCUUCAUUAAUUUCAUUUCCAGAUCCUCCCAGGUGUCAGUGGUUUUCAGGAGUUACAUAAGUCCUCUAGGUUCUCGAUGAAUUGAGAAAGAUGAGGAGGUGUGAAUAAACAGUUUUCAGCAAAGGGAGGAUUUUGAAAUUCUGUUCAUGUGUUUUUCUGUAACCAUUCCAGGUUUUCAAGGUUAUUCAAUGGCAGGGAUCCUUGUGUGAUUUUCCAAGCUUUAUUGAUAAGAACCACUGCAGAUAUUUGUCUAAGAUACUGAUUUCCAGGCCAUUCACAUAGCGAUUCUUAUUCAGAAGAUCACUGAUGGGACCCAGGAAUAGGUAUUUUGACAACUGUCAAAAGUGAUUCUUACAGCCAGGCAAAUUUGGGAAACAUUGACCUAGCUUUUACAUUUUCAUUGUUGGGAGCUAAAGAAGGCUGCUCCCCGAAAUUUUAGCCUUUUAAAAAAUAAAGUAUAUUUUUAAAAAUUUUUAUUUACUUAUUCACGAGAGACACAUAGAGAGAGGCAAAGACACAGGAAGAGGGAGGAGAAGCAGGCUCUAUGCAGGAAGCCCAAUGCGGGGCUUGAUCCCAGGGCUCCGGGAUCACACCCUGACCCCAAAGCAGAAGCUCACCCAUUGAGCCACCCAGGCAUCCCAAAAAUAAAAUAUUUUUUAAGAGGGAAAUUGUAUGGCUAGAUAAAAUAUGUAUACACAUACUAUAUGUAUUGUACCGUAUUAUAUUCUUCAUUCAAUAUUAUAAUUAAAGAUGGGUAAGAAUACUCAGAAAACUACAUAUUAAAUGAAAAGAGGAGUAUGUAGGAGUAGAGAUAAAUGCAGCUUAUUGCUGGAAAAGAAAAAAAAAAGAGUGUUAGAAAUCUAAUGGAAACAGCAUUUUGUAAAGUGCAAGAGCUUCAGAAUCAUGCCUGAAAUCUUCUUUGGUGUUCAGUUGUAAAUGGUGACUUUGGACUAGAUUUAGGGGAGAAACCAAUUAUGCUCUAAAGUGUUCUUGUAAAAGGCUUUAAAUGAAAGAAAAUCCUUGUAUGUGGUUGCAGCAAUUUAAAUUGAAGGCUUUUAACAUAUUACUAAUCUUUUCCCACUUAAAAACUAUCUUUCAUUUGAAUUGAAAAGUUGUUAUUUAUGUUCUAUUAGCAUCUUUAUGCCGAGACUCAACAGCAUGUUUUACAUUUCCAAAUUUUUAUUUCUCGAUUUUGCUGGUAGGAAUAUACUACUCCAUCGAUUUUUUAAAAGGUAAAACAAUUUGUUUUGACAAGGGCAUAUGGUACUUUCUUCUUCAGUUUUCUGAAGCAAAAGAUUACGUUUAAUAGUGAUUUCAGCAGCAAGGUCUAUGUUGGGUCCAGACCAAUUGCACUAACUUUACUAAAAUCCUGUUCUGUUUUUCAGAUUAAAAGAAAAAUGGAGGAGAAACACUUAGCUCUGAUGCAAAAUAAAUAAAUAAAUAAAUAAAUAAAUAAAUAAAUAAAUAAAUAAACACAUAUUCAUGAUGCAGAAGGAAGAAUGAAGGAAAUGGAGUUUCCAUUACGGGAAUUGAGAGGCAGUAGUAGACAACUAUGUCAAAAGCCAUUAGUCUGCUAAACAUAUUAUGUUCUUAGGGGCACCUGGGUGGCUCAGUCAGUUGAGCGACCAACUCUUGAUUUUGGCUCUCGUCAUUAUCUCAGAGUCAUGAGAUUGAGCCCCGAGUCAGGCUCUGCACUCAGUGAGGAGUCUGCUUGAGAUUUUCGCUCUCUCCCUCUCCUCUGCCCCUCCCCUGGCUCUCUCUCUCUCAAAUAAAUACAUACAUAUAUAAAUAGAUUUUAAAUUCCUUAAAAAUAUUAUGUUUUAAAAAUUGGAUUAGCUAAGUUUUCAGGAGGAGGAAAAAAAAAGAAAAAUGGAAUGCAUGAAGGUAGCCCACGAGAGCUACAAAGUGGCAGUGAAUUUUCAACUCUAAUGAAAUUAAAGCUAUAGUUGUUACACAUCUUCCUGCUACCAGUAAGUAGUGUCCAUUCAAUUUACAUCUGUAGUUACAUUAAGUUUAUCCUGACAUCCUGAUUUUUAUAAAUCUUUGAGAAAUAAUGAUUGUUUACUUUUGUCUCCUCUCAACCAGAAACAAUUUUUACUCCUAUAAUUAUUUUCCUUCCCAGCUCCAUUCCUUCUAUUACAGAGUAUGUAGGGGUGACUGAUAACAGAAUUGCUCACAGAAUUAAGUCAGAAGUUCAGAAUAUUUCAGGAUGAUAUUGGUAAUAUGUCAGUGUGCUAAAAUAAAAUCUUACCAGAGGUGGUAUUGCUAUGAAUCUAUGUCAGUGUAUUGUUGGAUCUGGCACCCCAAAGUUGACAAUCUGAUUAAUUAAAUACACUGCCACUCAUUAAUUUACAAUAUUUGGAUAUGCUCAUCCUUCUUCCUUCCUUCUUUUAUUUUUUCCCCUUUAUUCAUUUCUUUACAUGAGCAAUGGUUUCGAUCUAAGAUCCUGAGGGUCCUGAAGAUUUUUUGUUGGUGGUGUUAAUCUACUCUCAAAGUCUAUUUCUUUGGUUUCUCAUUAAAGCAUCACAGCAGCACCAUAUUUAUUUGUUAGUCUGUUUAUCCAUCCUGCUUUUUUGAGAUGUAAUUGACAUACAACAUUAUAUAGGUUUAAGGCUUUGUUGGACAUGCUUAUUUAUUGAUAAAUUAUUGCCACAGUAUCAUUAGAUAAAACCUCCAACACUUCACAUAAUUUACUUUUUUUUUUUCACAGUGAGAUCAUUUAAGUUAUACUCUCUUAGUGACUUGCAAGGAGAUAAUACAACAUGGUUAACCAUAAUCACCAUACUGUACAUUAGUCCUCCGAACUUAUAUAUCUUUUUUAAAAACAUUUUAUUCAUUUAUUCAUGACAGACAUGCAGAGAGAGGCAGAGACAUAGGCAGAGGGAGAAGCAGGCUCCCUCUGGGGAGCCUGAUGCAGGACUCCAUUCCAGGAUCCUGGGAUCAUGACCUGAGCUGAGGGCAGAUGCUCAACCACUGAGCCACCCAAGUGCCCUAUUUAUCUUAUAAUUGGAAGUUUGUAUGCUUUGGCCAUCAUCCUCUCAUUUCCCUCCCCUUCCUAGCCCCUGAUAACUCCCAAUCUGCUGUUGCUAUGAGCUUGCUUUUUUAGAGACUCCACACAUAAGUGGGAUCACACAGUAUUUAUUUUUUCUUUCUGACUUAUUUCACUUAGUGUAAUACCCUUAGACCCAGACAUGUUGCAAAUGGAAGAUUUCUUUUUUUCUCAUGGCUUGAAUAAUAUUCCAUUGUGGUAUAUAAAUAUUCCAUUUUGUAUGUGUAUGUAUAUAUAUCACAUCCUACCUAUCCAUUCAUCCAUAUAUGGACACUUAGGUUAUUUUCAUGUCUCAGCUAUUGUUAAUAAUGCUGCAAUGAACCUGGGAGUGUAGAUAUCUCAUUGAGAUACUGAUUUCCUUUCCUUUGAAUAUAUAUACCCAGAGGCAGGAUUGCUCGAUCAUAUGGUGACUUUUAAAUUUCAAUUUUUAAUUUUUUAAAGAACCUCCAUUCUGUUUUCCAUAAUAGAAAACAUUCCCACCGACAGGGCUCAAGGAUUUCCUUUUCUCCACUUCUUCGCGGACACUGGUUACUUUUUGUCUUUUUGAUGAUAGCCAUUUAAACAGGUGUGAAAUGACGUCUCAUUGUAGUUUCAAUUUACAUUUCCUUGAUGACUAGUGAUGUUGGGCAUCUUUUAAUGUACCUAUUGACCAUUUGUAUGUCUUCUUUGGGAAAAAUGUCUAUGUAAUUUCUCUGCCCAUUUUUAUU